GUCUAUGUUCAUGCCACCUUGAACAUUCCCGAUUUUGUUUGAUCUCGGAAGCUAAGCAAGCUUGGGCCUGGUUAGUACUUGGAUGAGAGACCACCUAGGAAGACCAGGUGCCGUAGGCG
rnacentral:rRNA from 1 species